rnacentral:rRNA from 1 species
AUUGAACGCUGGCGGCAGGCCUAACACCUGCACGUCGAGCGAGCAGCGGACGGGUGAGUAAUUUAUGGGGCUCUGCCUGAUGGAUGGGGAUAACUACUGGAAACGGUAGCUAAUACCGCAUACCCUCAGCUGAACCCAUAUGGGAUUAGCUUGUAGGUAAGGUACCGGCUUACCUAGGCGACGAUCCCUAGCUGGUCUGAGAGGAUGAUCAGGCACACUGGGACUGAGACACGGCCCAGACUCUUACGUGAGGCAGCAGGGGGGAAUAUGGCACAAUGGGCGCAAGCCUGAUGCAGCAAUGCCGCGUGUAUGAAGAAGGCCGUCGGGUUGUAAAGUACUUUCAGUCGGGAGGCGUUACCGACAGAAGAAGCACCGGUUAACUCCGUGCCAGCAGCCGCGGUAAUUC